rnacentral:RNase_P_RNA from 1 species
UGAGUUGAGUAGAUGGUCGCGUCCUGAAAUCAGGAUGAGGAAAGUCCGGACUCCACGGGGCAGGAUGCUGGGUAACCCCCAGGAGCGGUAACGCUAUGGAAAGUGCAACAGAGAGUAGACUACAACGUGCUAAAACGUUGUACAGGUGAAACGGUGCGGUAAAAGCGCACCAGUCCAUAAGGUGACUUAUGGAGCUCGGUAAACCCCAUCUGGAGCAAGGUAAAAUGGGGGACAUUCAAAGGUGUGCCCGCCUCGUCCCCGGGUAACCGCUUGAGGUUAAUGGCAACAUUGAUCCCAGAUGAAUGAUCAUCAAAUACAGAAUCCGGCUUAUUCUCAACUCAAGUC